rnacentral:rRNA from 1 species
GACGAACGCUGGCGGCGUGCCUAAUACAUGCAAGUGGGACGCAAGGGAACACACUGUGCUUGCACACCGUGUUUUCUUGAGUCGCGAACGGGUGAGUAACGCGUAGGUAACCUGCCUAUUAGCGGGGGAUAACUAUUGGAAACGAUAGCUAAUACCGCAUAAUAUUAAUUAUUGCAUGAUAAUUGAUUGAAAGAUGCAAGCGCAUCACUAGUAGAUGGACCUGCGUUGUAUUAGCUAGUUGGUAAGGUAAGAGCUUACCAAGGCGACGAUACAUAGCCGACCUGAGAGGGUGAUCGGCCACACUGGGACUGAGACACGGCCCAGACUCCUACGGGAGGCAGCAGUAGGGAAUCUUCGGCAAUGGACGAAAGUCUGACCGAGCAACGCCGCGUGAGUGAAGAAGGUUUUCGGAUCGUAAAGCUCUGUUGUAAGUCAAGAACGUGUGUGAGAGUGGAAAGUUUACACAGUGACGGAGCUACCAGAAAGGAC